CAUACUAAAUGUGUUGUGAUCUCUCUUAAAAAUAAUGUGUUUUGUUUGAAUGAAAAAUAAAGGAGGAACUUGCUGCUACAUACAAGAAGGAGGAACGUGCUGCUGUGAACAAGAAGGUAAGUGAAAUUAUGAGGCCAUUUGACUGCAUCUUCAAUUACUUGAGGAAUUUUUAUAAUAUCUGUGUGAGUGGCAUACAUUUUGUUUACUCUUGAUUGCAUAAUUUUUAACUUCAGCUCAAUUAGCACUCUUCAUCUUGUUAAACAUUAAAUUUAGACGUCAGAAAAAGUAUACAGAGAUAUUUAUUAGCUAUUUAAAAUUGAUAGUGGUAAUAGGAUAACAGAGAAAGAUGCAAGUGAAGGAAUUUGAAACAUCUAUAUUCUUAUUAUUAAGAAAUAAUUAUCCAACAAAAUUUAUGCACGCGCAACAUGUUCUCUAUGACUAAAUCUGAGCAUAUACAAAACACGCACAAAAGAUUUACAAAUAAGGUAUUGCUUGAUUUUAAUAAGCAAUUUAAUAGAUCAAC